rnacentral:rRNA from 1 species
ACUCCUACGGGAGGCAGCAGUGGGAAUCUUGGACAAUGGGGAACCGUAGCAUGCAGCCAUGCCGCGUGUGUGAAGAAGGCCUUCGGGUUGUAAAGCACUUUCAGUAGGGAGGAAGGUAGUGUAGUUAACACCUGCACUAUUUGACGUUACCUACAGAAGAAGCACCGGCUAACUCCGUGCCAGCAGCCGCGGUAAUACGGAGGGUGCGAGCGUUAAUCGGAAUUACUGGGCGUAAAGCGCAUGCAGGCGGCCUGUUAAGUCAGAUGUGAAAGCCCGGGGCUUAACCUCGGAAUUGCAUUUGAAACUGGCAGGCUAGAGUCUUGUAGAGGGGGUGAGAAUUG